UAGGGAAUAUUAGAAAUGGACGAAAGUCUGAUCUAGCAACACCGCGUGUGCGAAGAAGGCCUUCGGGUCGUAAAGCACUUUUUGGAAGGAAUAGGAAGGAAUGUACUUCCAGAAUAAGUCUCGGCUAACUACGUGCCAGCAGCCGCGGUAACACGUAGGAGGCGAACGUUAUCCGGAUUUACUGGGCGUAAAGCGCGUGUAGGUGGUACUGUAAGUAGGGCGUGAAAGCUCCUGGCUCAACUGGGAGAGGCCGUUCUAAACUACAGAACUAGAGGAUGGUAGAGGGAGGUGGAAUUCCGGGUGUAGUGGUGAAAUGCGUAGAUAUCCGGAGGAACACCAGUGGCGAAGGCGGCCUUCUGGACCAUCACUGACGCUCAGACGCGAAAGCUAGGGUAGCAAACGG
rnacentral:rRNA from 1 species